rnacentral:rRNA from 1 species
AUUGAACGCUGGCGGCAGGCUUAACACAUGCAAGUCGAACGAUGAGUCUCUAGCUUGCUAGAGAUGAUUAGUGGCGGACGGGUGAGUAACAUUUAGGAAUCUACCUAGUAGUGGGGGAUAGCUCGGGGAAACUCGAAUUAAUACCGCAUACGACCUACGGGUGAAAGGGGGCGCAAGCUCUUGCUAUUAGAUGAGCCUAAAUCAGAUUAGCUAGUUGGUGGGGUAAAGGCCCACCAAGGCGACGAUCUGUAACUGGUCUGAGAGGAUGAUCAGUCACACCGGAAAGGAAACGCGGGCCGGCCCCCUCGGGGGGGCAGCAGGGGGGAAUUUGGAACAAGGGGGGCAACCCUGACCCACCCCGGCCGGGGGGGGGAAGAAGGCUUUUUGGUUGUAAAGCAUUUAAAGCGGGGAGGAGAGGCAAAUGUUUAAUACCCAUAAGAUAGGACUUUACCUGAAAAAAAAGCCCCGGCUAACUCUGUC